AUGACGCUGGCGGCAUGCUUUACAACAUGCAGUCGAGCGGCAGCGCGGGGGCACCUAGGCGGCGAGCGGCGAACGGGUGAGUAAUACAUCGGAACGUGUCCCGUAGUGGGGGAUAACCCGGCGAAAGCCGGACUAAUACCGCAUAUGCUCUACGGAGGAAAGUGGGGGACCCGCAAGGGCCUCACGCCAUGGGAGCGGCGAUGUCCGAUUAGCUUGUUGGUGAGGUAAUGGCUUACCAAGGCGACGAUCGGUAGCUGGUCUGAGAGGAUGAUCAGCCACACUGGGACUGAGACACGGCCAGACUCCUACGGGAGGCAGCAGUGGGGAAUUUUGGACAUGGGGGCAACCCUGAUCCAGCCAUGCCGCGUGCGGGAAGAAGGCCUUCGGGUUGUAAACCGCUUUUGUCCGGGAAGAAAAGGCACCCCCUAAUACGGGAUGCUCUUGACGGUACCGGAAGAAUAAGCACCGGCUAACUACGUGCCAGCAGCCGCGGUAAUACGUAGGGUGCGAGCGUUAAUCGGAAUUACUGGGCGUAAAGCGUGCGCAGGCGGUUCGUGAUGUCUGAUGUGAAAGCCCCGGGCUCAACCUGGGAAUUGCACUGGAAACUAGCGGGCUGGAGUGUGGCAAGGGGGGUGGAAUUCCAGUGUACAGUGAAAUGCGUAAGAUGU
rnacentral:rRNA from 1 species